AUGAUUCUACCAGCGGAUUAUUUGGCUCCUGAUCUUAUCCGUUGCAUUGCAACAGAAUGUGGGGUUGAUAUCGAUGAGGACCCGGAAGCAAUGAUUAUUGAUCACAUUAAUUACGACUCCACUUUGGUUGAAGGUGAUCACACCUUGAUUGCUGGCGAUGAUCUGAUUCAGUCAGCUUUGUGGGCGAGAGCAUGCAUCAUGAUGUCACGUUGGUGUUUGCCUACAAGGAAGGAGUUGUUGAGCCGACUUUCCUGUACUUCGGUCAUGAGCUGGAAGUGGUCAAGUGUUAAUUUUUUGCUCUGGUCUAUGGUUGUAAUGUUGGUGUCGUAUUUUUAA
rnacentral:rRNA from 1 species